AUCGCUUCUCGGCCUUUUGGCUAAGAUCAAGUGUAGAAAAAUGUUAUUGUCAUUUCUGAGUUUAUUCACCCUGC
rnacentral:snRNA from 1 species